rnacentral:rRNA from 1 species
GGAUGCGAUCAUACCAGCACUAAAGCACCGGAUCCCAUCAGAACUCCGAAGUUAAGCGUGCUUGGGCGAGAGUAGUACUAGGAUAGUUGACCUCCUGGGAAGUCCUCGUGUCGCAUUCCC